rnacentral:sRNA from 1 species
CCCACAGGAGCUGAGUGGGCUUGGGGACAGGAAGAGUUUGCUGAACCAGGUGAACAUUCCUAUCUGGCUCAAGUGUUCAAUCUCACUCUGCUGUGCAUGGAGGAGUAUGUCAUAGAACCAAAGUCUGUGCAGUUCCUGAUACAGCAUGGCUUCAACUUCAACCAGCAGUAUGCCCAAGGCAUCCCCUACCAUAAGGGCAAUGAUAAGGGUGAUGAGAGCCAGAGCCAGUCAGUACGGACUCUAUUCCUGGAGCUAAUCCGAGCCCGCCGGCCCCUGGUGCUACACAAUGGCCUUAUAGACUUGGUGUUCCUGUACCAGAACUUCUAUGCACACCUCCCUGAGAGUCUGGGAACCUUCACCGCUGACCUGUGUGAGAUGUUCCCAGCAGGCAUUUAUGACACCAAAUAUGCUGCUGAGUUUCAUGCCCGUUUCGUGGCCUCCUACUUAGAAUAUGCCUUCCGGAAAUGGCAGUGUUUUAGGUGCUGAGGAUUCAGCAGUGAACAAAACAGACCACAAAACCCUGCUCUUAUGGAGCUUAUAUGCUAGUGGACCAUUACCCUCUUGCGCUGUUGCAGUGAACGGGAAAAUGGGA